GACAGAGGAUGCAAGCGUUAUCCGGAAUGAUUGGGCGUAAAGCGCACGUAGGCGGCUUCUUAAGUCAGGGGUGAAAUCCUGGAGCUCAACUCCAGAACUGCCUUUGAUACUGAGGAGCUUGAGUCCGGGAGAGGUGAGUGGAACUGCGAGUGUAGAGGUGAAAUUCGUAGAUAUUCGCAAGAACACCAGUGGCGAAGGCGGCUCACUGGCCCGGUACUGACGCUGAGGUGCGAAAGCGUGGGGAGCAAACAGG
rnacentral:rRNA from 1 species